UAAUUUCUCUUUUGUCCUUAGGCAGCACCACUCCGCAGCUGCUUCUAACUCAGCUCCCAAAACACAGCCCUGGGCUCUGGGAAGGGAGAGGAGAAGAUGACUAGAGAGAGAGACAAAUACACUUAGAGGUAUGUGUUGCCAAGAAUCACUUGUCCAGACCUCCGAGAAGCCAGAUGUGUUUUGGAAUGAAGAAUGUUACGGGUUUUCGAGAAAUAAAAUGGUGCAUCUCUUGUUACAUACACUCUA